rnacentral:sRNA from 1 species
CCUGAGCGUUAGGGAUAGAGGCGGUAUCCUUUAUGAAGCGUAGCGGAAUAAAAGAUAUAGCCGAAAGCCCGGCCGGAG